GCAGUCGUGGUCUAGUGGUUAGGGCGAUAGACUAGAAAUCCAUUGGGGUCUCCCAGCACAGGUUCGAAUCCUGUCGACUGCG
rnacentral:tRNA from 1 species